rnacentral:rRNA from 1 species
CCUAACACAUGCAAGUCGAACGGCUCUUCGGAGCAGUGGCGGACGGGUGAGUAACGCGUGGGAACGUGCCCUUUGGUUCGGAACAACACAGGGAAACUUGUGCUAAUACCGGAUGUGCCCUUCGGGGGAAAGAUUUAUCGCCAUUGGAGCGGCCCGCGUUGGAUUAGGUAGUUGGUGGGGUAAUGGCCCACCAAGCCGACGAUCCAUAGCUGGUCUGAGAGGAUGAUCAGCCACACUGGGACUGAGACACGGCCCAGACUCCUACGGGAGGCAGCAGUGGGGAAUCUUGCGCAAUGGGCGAAAGCCUGACGCAGCCAUGCCGCGUGAAUGAUGAAGGUCUUAGGAUUGUAAAAUUCUUUCACCGGGGAAGAUAAUGACGGUACCCGGAGAAGAAGCCCCGGCUAACUUCGUGCCAGCAGCCGCGGUAAUACGAAGGGGGCUAGCGUUGCUCGGAAUUACUGGGCGUAAAGGGCGCGUAGGCGGACAGUUAAGUCAGAGGUGAAAGCCCAGGGCUCAACCUUGGAAUUGCCUUUGAUACUGGCUGUCUUGAGUUCGGGAGAGGUGAGUGGAAUGCCGAGUGUAGAGGUGAAAUUCGUAGAUAUUCGGCGGAACACCAGUGGCGAAGGCGACUCACUGGCCCGAUACUGACGCUGAGGCGCGAAA